ensembl:lincRNA
AAUGAAGUUCAUCAACAUUUGUCAGUCUCCUAUUCCGUGGCAGGACCCAGAGAUGAGUGAGAAACAGCCUCUGUCCUGUAGGGUCUCCCCAUCAGGUGGAAGACCGACAUCAGCGACCAUCACACAAACCGGCUUCAAAAAAAUGCCUUAGUAGGUGUGUCCUGUGCCCAGGCCAGCCACGCGCCCAAGCAGGAAUGAAGGUCCCCUCCGCCCAGAGCAGCACUAAACCUUUCUUGAGGAUCCGUUGUGUGCCCAGGACUUGCCAGAGUCGGAACAAAGAAAAAUGGUGCCUCACAGCCACAGCUGUCAUGUUCGUCGUGCAAAGAGCUUCCAUGUGCUUUGUCCCGUGUAACCCUCAGAACCACACUGAUGAAAUAGCCUGUAUCAAGGAAAGAAUAACCAAGCCUUCUUCUCUACAUUCCAGUCAACAGGACAGCAGGCAUCACACAGGUUUCAAGCAGCCUUUUUUUUUUUUUUUAAGAUUUUAUUUAUUUAUCAGAGAGAGAGACGGGGAGAGAGCAAGCACAGGCAGACAGAAUGGCAGGCAGAGGCAGAGGGAGAAGCAGGCUCCCCGCUGAGCAAGGAGCCCGAUGUGGGACUCGAUCCCAGGAUGCUGGGAUCAUGACCUGAGCUGAAGGCAGCUGCUUAACCAACUGAGCCACCCAGGCGUCCCUCAAGCAGCCUUUCAUGACACUCCCCUGUCAUGGGAAAAGAUGUGAAGGCCUUGACUGAACACAGUGUCUCCCUCUGACGGUGGGGUUGCCAAUUUCUCCCACCUCAAAUAGGACAAGUCAGAAAUCCAGGGACAGAGAAAUGCUAGAGGACUUCCCAGCUGAGCACGGGAUCUGGACACUGAGGUUCUCGCAAGAACUCUGGGGCCAUCCUACCACUCCCCAUCUGUUCUCUAAAGGAACUUUAGAGGAUGGGUUUGUCCUUCUGUGAUCCUGUAACUGAUCAUGGUUUACUGUGUCUCUCCUCCAUAUUUCCUCCUCUGACUGCAGGCCCUGAGGGAUUUACAAUGUCAACAAACAAAACAAAAAACAAAACCCUCCAAUUUAGAACUUGGUCUUGUUUUUAGAGGUUAGAGUGUUCUUCUGGGAUCUGGAGCUCACAAUGCACCGGCCUCCCUGGCUCCAGCCUCUGCCAUCUCCAUCCCCCUCCACCAGAUGGGCAAAGUGCGGUUCAGGAGGUGAGUGGCUGGCCCAAGUCCCACAGUGUGAGGCGCCCUGUCCUGCUGACAGUGGGGGGGCCACCUUCACCCUCACACCCCGCCCAGCCAGAGUUAUGCAAACACUUAAUGGGGGUGAGGGGGUUGAGAUUCCCAAAGCUCAACAUCUCAGGAACCCAUUUUCCUAGACAAGUAUUUUGACAGCUCCUUCUAAAACUAGUCAGUGGGAGAGCAGUUAUGUGUGACAGAGACAUGGGCUGUCAUUUGAUACCUAAUUAGAGGAAUAAUCAGAUCUCAUCCUGGAGAGAGGCACAGGGGAUGUUGGCAGCAGCCCCUGGAGCUGGGGAAUGCCCACCUCCAGGGCUUCCUCUUAUGGGGGCCAGGAACACAGCCAGGGGGGCCCACUGGUGCUCUGCAGUCACCCCCCCCUCUCCACAUACUUUUGAGUUCACACGUCUUUGCCCAGGCCCCUCUCCAGCCUCCUUGCGGGGCCUUCCCUUCACUGAAGCUCAGUCUGGUGACCUUGGCCUUCUCAGUUCCCCAACCCCACCCAAAGAAUGCCCCUUGUUAGAGAUGGAGGUCCCAUGGUGCCCACGGCCCUCCUCUGUGGUGACCCGAGCUGGUCAUGCAGGUCCAGGCCCUCCCUGAGCUCUGCCUUAUGUUCAGGCAGAGCACAGAGAAGCUCACUCCCUGAACCAGCCCUUGUGGGGCUGGUGAUCUACAGAGGAGACAGAGAACAAGGCCAGGUGAUGGGGACAUGGGAGCAGUGGUAGGCAGCCCACCCACUCAGGCACCAUCGGGAAUGCCUUUACAGAGCUGGGGCUGGCUGAGUAGGGUCCUGCAGGACAAGGAGGCAUUCCCCAGAGAGCAGGGGCUAAGCAGACCCUCAGCAGAAGGGCAGCAGCAGAAAAGGGGAGGAAUGAGGGGGAGGGGGUCGCUGUGGAGGCGGAGGACUGUGGCUUGGCUCUGUUGGGUGGCAGACAUCUUGGGGAGACCGAGGCACGCAAACAGAAGCCAGUGGGGCUAGUGAUGGGACCCUGGGAAUAGUGCCCAGGUGCCUAGGUGCAGGCAUAGGACCAGGUCCAGAUUUGGGGAUCAGGAAGACCCUGAUGCAUCAAGGGCCCAAGAAGAGCUGGGUCUGGGGGCGGGAAAGGGCAGGGCUGGGCUACCACUGCCUAGCCUUGACCUGGGGGGUCCUGCAAGUAGGUCAGACAGGCUGGGCAGAGGAAGUCAGGAGGUGCUAGCCCUGUCCCAGUUAGCUGACCCUGGCCACUGGCACCCAGUCCCUGCCAAUCCUUCUCCCCAUAUUUGUUUUCCUCCUACCCCAUUCCCCACACAACUCUGCUCCCUGCUCUUCCUUCUCAGACCCCCACCCAGGAUCCCAGGAGGGCUGAGAGGGCUCACUCUCCCAGCCUACUGGCAAUUAAGGGGGUAGAUACCAAGCCUACCUGAGGAGAAGGAGGUGCCCUGAGAUCAGCCUCAAACCAGGACCCCUCAACCCUGCUCCCCCUAAGAGACCAGAGGUCGACAGGCUGUGGGGAGGGGCGAGGGGAGAGCAGGAACUCAGAGGAAUACCUCUUUCUCUCCUCCCGUGCCAGUCACCAUUCCUGUCUCUUGAGCCUCCUCCAGGUCCCCUCCCAUGCCCGCCUCUGAGUCCCUGAGUAGAAGCC